AGCUUUGCGCAGUGGCGAUAUCGUAACCAAUGAGGUUCUACCGAGAUGCGAUUAUUGCUAGUUGAAAAAAUAACUAACCUAUUAACCUUGAAGGAAUCAUUAUUCCUGUAAGUGUUAUCGGUUUAUGGAUGGUCCCUGGAA